AGGUGAUGUACCAACAGAUGCUGAGCAAGACGCAAUAAUCGUGAGUGAUGCUGAAGAGAAACAAGAGGGAGUGGAGAACCCGACGUCUUCAAAAGUUACAGAAACAAGGACUGGUGGAAGACAAGUCUCAAAGACGAAAGAGUGAAAAGGUAUGAAAAAAACCCUUUUAGUUUUCUCACAAUUUUUUCGGUUGUCGCUUUAAAAUUUAGAAUUAAAAACUCCGGUUCAUGUGUAAUUGGCAAAACGGUAAAACUUUGGUCACAGAGGUGAAGAGAUGGAUGUAUUUGAAAGCGUGACUGUGGUUGAUUGACGAAAAAACGUUUGAGAUAAAAAUUGCUCCUUUUCUGAUAGGUGGAAAAAAGUCCUAGAACCUGUGUGGCAUUUUCGUUGGACCUCUUAUCUUUCAGUUCUCAGAAUGUUUGUGCCAUUAUAGUUUGCCACGUGCAGUUCGAAUGGUCGUAGGUGUAGGUUGUUUCAAAGGGCCUUGAAUGUUUGGUAGUUCAUACUUAAAUUUAUUUUCUCCGAGACUAUAAGUGUGUAACAAAGAUUAAACAAGUCCGGUAUAAUCUAUGUUGUGAAAUGUUAUAUUUUCCACUUCUGUCACAAACCUGUCUGUAUCAGGAAAGGCGAAGGACAAGUUAAAAGAUGCGCUUACUCCAGUUGAGGAGCUUCCCGCGAGAAGAGUCCGCAGAAAGACCGCUAUA